rnacentral:rRNA from 1 species
GAUGAACGCUGGCGGCGUGCCUAAUACAUGCAAGUCGAGCGAACAGAUGAGGAGCUUGCUCCUCUGACGUUAGCGGCGGACGGGUGAGUAACACGUGGAUAACCUACCUAUAAGACUGGGAUAACUUCGGGAAACCGGAGCUAAUACCGGAUAAUAUAUUGAACCGCAUGGUUCAAUAGUGAAAGACGGUUUUGCUGUCACUUAUAGAUGGAUCCGCGCCGCAUUAGCUAGUUGGUAAGGUAACGGCUUACCAAGGCAACGAUGCGUAGCCGACCUGAGAGGGUGAUAGGCCACACUGGAACUGAGACACGGUCCAGACGCCUACGGGAGGCAGCAGUAGGGAAUCUUCCGCAAUGGGCGAAAGCCUGACGGAGCAACGCCGCGUGAGUGAUGAAGGUCUUCGGAUCGUAAAACUCUGUUAUUAGGGAAGAACAAAUGUGUAAGUAACUAUGCACGUCUUGACGGUACCUAAUCAGAAAGCCACGGCUAACUACGUG